UGAAGAGAAUUCUGAGCCAAUGAGGAAAAGUCGAAGCCGCCGUUGUCUGGUAAAGCUUCAGAAAAAAACAAAACCACAUGGAAAUAAAGAUUAUGGCCCCAAUGGUGCUCACUGGAACAUUCAGAAGUUCAGAAAUGCGCCUGUCACCAAUGCCAGAGCUUCAGA